rnacentral:tRNA from 2 species
GCUGAAGUGAUGGAACAGGCAGACAGGGCGGAUUCAAAAUCCGUUGCCGCAAGGCGUGUGGGUUCAAAUCCCACCUUCAGCACCA